GACGGACCGAGCGAACGUUAUUCGGAAUCACUGGGCUUAAAGGGCGCGUAGGCGGGCGGCCAAGUCAGGGGUGAAAGCCCCCAGCUCAACUGGGGAAGUGCCUCUGAUACUGGUCAUCUCGAGGGAGAUAGGGGCGUGCGGAACUUCCGGUGGAGCGGUGAAAUGCGUAGAUAUCGGAAGGAACACCGGUGGCGAAAGCGGCGCGCUGGAUCUCUUCUGACGCUGAGGCGCGAAAGCCAGGGGAGCGAACGGG
rnacentral:rRNA from 1 species